CUUAAUUAGUUAAAAUAUUGAUGUAAUCACUUCUCCCUUGAACCCAUUUCCCAAGGUUCUGUGAGUGCUUCCCAGUGACAGAACCUAACUGAAGCUUGCAAAGAAUUCUGGGAAAUGUAGUUUUCAUGCUUCUAAACCUUGGAGAAAAUAGAAAAAUAAGGAGCUAAGAGCCAACUAAAAAUCACCAAUAUUAGCAGAUACACAAUUUAAGCACUUUAUUAUGUUAAUAUCAUCAUCCUUAUAACUCUUGUUCUCACUCUUUUUGCAACCAACAUGUAAUGGCACCUCAAUCAAGUUAUUUCACCACUCUAGGCUUUCAUUUCUUUAUCUUAAAAGAUUUGGACUGGAUGAGCACCUCCCAUCAAAUAAUUUUCUUCCUUCCCUCAUAUACUCAAUCAACAAACAUUUGCUGAGCCCCCAAGUGUGAGCAAUCAGAGAGUGUUUCUUCUUGGCUGCGGGUAUGCACAUAACCGAUAGUCCCUUUCUACAAUAAGCUCCCUUUCCUAUUGUCCAUCAUCUGCCUCCUCCCCUACCUGGGCCUCAGUAUCAACUUGUCAAGGAUGUUACAUGGAGAUCAGAACAUCUUCACCUGUUAGCUUAUCAACAGGUGAGGGGCGAGACUCUCUGCUGGUUUCCUUGGUAACCAAUGAACCAACCUGAUAUCAAUUCCCUCUAUAACUGGCAACCUCUACCUCCUCCCAAGAGUGAAGACUGCCCAUCUCCACUGUCCAGAUCUCACUCCACGACCUUGCUUCAAACAGAAGAAUCAGCCUUGGCCUUGGACUCUAGUCCCACCAUCCAGUAAGGAGAGUCUGAUGAAAUGGCAUUGCUGUGUCCACAUGUGAUCUACGAAAAUAAUAUUUCAUCCUCACCAGCAGGACUGUUUGUGGCUGCACAUUAAAUAGGAAUAAUUUCCAAAGACUCCAGCUGGCCUUCCUCAAAAGAAAUCACAAUUCCCUCAAGAAGGAAGUCCAGAACGUUCCUGUCUGCUGGUUCACCCACUCACUGAGGACCCUAUCUAAUUCAGCCUUGGCCCUAGAUCUACUUCGCCGGUGCACCACAAACACCUCCCCGUGGAUGACUGAGCCAAUCAGCAUCCAGAACACUUCUGGCUUCAGCCAAUCAGUGCUCAGAAUCCUACGCCUUUUCCUUCCUCUCUGGCUGAGCUCCUGAAGACAGGUAUUCUGGUCGCCAUAGGGCGGGAAACUUCUAAGAAAAAUGAAAUAUCUUUCCCUCAAUAUCUUCUGGGCUCUACGACCUCCAAGAGAGAAAGAAAACGAGACAGAGAGACAGAUGGGAACAAGUGUACUCACAUGGAUAUACUGAAACCCACACUCAAUUGGGUGGAGAUGUGUGUUUGUGUGGCCACUCCGGUGCCCCUAGAGAGAAGAUGCCAUCUUACUCUUCAAGUGUCUGGUGCCUCUUCCUCACCCAGUCUUUACAGGCUGGUUGUUAGCCAGACACAGACCUUGCCUCUUCCACAAAGCCCACUUUGGAGACUGGCGCCUGCCUUCUGCUGCUUGUUUGUUGUCUGAAAAGUGCUGAUGCCUCUCCUCAUCUACAGUGCCAGGAUUCUGUGCCAAAGCUGCCCACAUGCUCGUGGCUGUCCCCACAUGUGAGGGUUUCAGAAGGUGGACCUGGCACCAAACAUAGUAGAAGAGGCCCUUACAGCACACACACACCUGCACAUACACAGAGCUGAGACCCCAAUCAGUACCUAAAGCAACUUUUAAAAGGAAUAAAAAUUGU